UAUUGUGUUGAAAAAUUCACCUAUCUCAUGGGGGUUCCCUAUUAUGUAAUUUGUUUCUUUUCUGCUGCAUUCAAAGUUCUUAAAUUUGUCUUUGACUUUUGAUGACUGAGUUAUAAUGUGUCUUGGUGUGGCCCUUUUUUUAGUUCAACCUAUUUGGGAUCCUUUCGGCCUCAAUCAUCUGGAAACCCAUUUCUCAUCCCAAACUCGAGAGGUGUUCAGCCAUUAUUGCUCUGAAUAGACUUCCAUUCUCUCUCCCUUCCUCUUCUCCUUCUGGGGUUCCCCUAUGCGUAUCUUGUUUGUUUUUAUGGAUGUCCCCAACUCCCAUAGAGCUUCUCCACUCUCAUGUUCUUUUUGUUCCUUGGGAUAAAAAAAUUCAAAUAAUUUCUCUUCUACACUAGUGAUUCUCUCCUCUGCUUGGUUGACUCUGCUGUUUAAACUCUUUGCAGUUCUUCAGUGGCAGUAUUAUAUUCUUCAGCUUUAGAAUUUCUGGGUUUAAAAAAUUUUUUUUUAAUCUUCACCUGAGGACAUUUUUUCAUUGCUUUUAGAGAGAGAAGAAGGGAGAGAGGAAGGGAGAGCGAGAAACAUCGAUGCGAGACAGAAGCAUCGAUUGGUUGCCUCCCGUGCACACCCGGACUGGGGAUCGAAUCUGCAGCCUAGGGGAGAGAGAGGCCAGCGCUUUCUGAUCACUUGCUCUCUGGUGAGCUCUCUGCUGAUGUUCUGCUGCAUGUUGCAGAACUUCGUUUGCACAAGAGAUGAGAAAACCGAGGCUUAAAGAGUUGAAGCGACUUGCCUAAGCUGACCAUGAGUGCGCAGCGGAACUCAGCUCUCUGAGACUGUCUGAGGGCGGCGCCUGUCUGCUCCUUGUGCUACCUCCCAUCCCGUGUGGCGUCUGUCACGGAGUAGGUGCAGAAAAGCGGGGGGCUGACGAUGAACAGGCUGUCUCAUUCAAUAUGCUUAUAAUUGAUAAGACGUGUAUUUGUGGUUGCUGUGUGCGUGGUGCGCCUUCAGUGCACAGCAGGGACUGAAGGCAGGCUGAGCUCCCGCUUGCCUAGUAAGCCUGGAGAGCAGCAGGACUGGCACACUAACUUUGCAACACUUCUGCGAAGCCAAGGUAUUUCAAAUUUGACUGUUAAAGCAUCUUUCAGAUGA